rnacentral:rRNA from 1 species
UACGUAGGGGGCGAGCGUUGUCCGGAUUUAUUGGGCGUAAAGGGCGCGUAGGUGGCGCCGCAAGUCCAUGGUGAAAGCUCGAUGCUCAACAUCGAGUCGGCCACGGAGACUGCGGGGCUCGAGCACUGUAGGGGCAGAUGGAAUUCCGGGUGUAGCGGUGGAAUGCGUAGAGAUCCGGAAGAACACCGGUGGCGAAGGCGGUCUGCUGGGCAGUUGCUGACACUGAGGCGCGACAGCGUGGGGAGCAAACAGG